rnacentral:lncRNA from 1 species
CAAAUACAAACACAAAUACAAAUUCAAAUUAAAUAAAUAAAAAUUACAUUAAUUAAUUUAAAAAUUACAAAAUAGUCCCUAAAAACUCCAGAAAUUGCAGGGAAGGACUUCUGGGGCUGCAUGAACAGUAGCGGCGCGUGGACCCCACGCACCGCCGUGACUGGCGGCGCGUGGGCUCACGCGCCGCCCUGAAAAUCAGGCAGCGUGAGGGGGCUAUAAUGCUUCCUCCUCUCUUCGAUCUCUCCACCUGCAAAUCCAAAAAAAACACAGCAAAGGGCAGUCGAUUUUAAGUUUUUUUUUUAGUUUUUUCAAAUCUGUUUUUUGUUCUUUCUUUCUUCGCCGUCUUCGAUCUGCUCCUCUUUCUCUUCUUCUUCGUUGCAGAUCAGUCCGUGGGUUUCUUCUUCUUCUCCUCUGCUUCAGGUGGUGGGGCGGCGGCUGAUGGAGAAGCUGGGAGGCGUCGGUUUGCUUCUGUCGAGGCCGUCGAAGACGGCGCUGCUGCGCCUCUUGCUGGUUCUGUUCUUCCCUUCUGCAGGCGGCGGCUCUGUGUUCACAGAGGAAGAUGACUGAUGGGUGGCCCGCUGAAGGCCGAUUAGCUGGUCGGUCGGCUGCCUCUGGCAGGCUGGUCGAUGGAGAUGAGGGAGACGGUUCGGUUUGGCUGACCGGGUCAGUGGCUCUGGUUUUGAUACGGGAGAAGAAACCUUUGGUGAACGGCGGCUCUGGUUUACCAAUCAACACCGGGGAAGGAGGAAGUAAAUCGGCUGCUCUGGUUUCCCAUUUUGGCAGAGAAGUGGUCGCCGGCGUGGGUUGGAGAGGUGAGGGGCUGAAGGAAGAAAAAAUAAUCCGGGUGCUUUGGGGGGCUGUUUGGCCGGUUUCCAAAGAAAAAAAUUCAAUUCGGGUGAGGGGCUGUGUGGGGGAGAAAAAAAAAUGAAUUGGCUCCGGCGGCUGGGAAAAAAUUCAAACCAGAGGGGGGGGGGCUGCUCUUCAAAAAAGGGAUUAGGUUUAGGUUUUUUGUAUAUUUUUUGUGUUUCCAAAAUUAACCCCCCCCUUUUGCAAGUGUUGGAAACCAGUAUUUAUAGACAAAAUUUUGCUAGGUUUUUCAACUUGGUCCCUCAACUUCUUUCUUUUUUUAAAUUUUGAUUUUUAUUAUUUUUUUGUAUUUUCUGAAAACGAGCAAUAUCAACGUCGACUCAAAAUACGGAAAAUCAAUGAUUUUAAAAAUGACGCGUGAAAAGUCGAACGCGUUCGAAAAUCUUUUGAAAAAUUAAAUUCUUUAAAUAAAAAUUAAAAUCUUUUUAGACGACGCUGAAAAUGCUAAAAUGACAAGAAUAUAUUAAAAAAACAUAUUUUUUGGAUUUUCAUUGUUUUUCUCUAUUUUUGGAUUUUUUUGAAAAUAUAUCAAAACAUGGGUCAAAAAUUGGGUAGCAAUAGAUGCCCCCUCUUUACAAUGCUUACGAAGCAAAACUCUUCAAAAUUUUGCAUAGUAAGCUUUGUAAAGAAAACAAAAGGAAAAUGAUUUUAUUAUCUUGGGCGACCUGCCCACACACUCACACUGAUCUGUUUUCACGGGCGACCUACCCACACGUACUCACUCAAGUCUAUUUUCACGGGCGACCUGCCCACAUAUACUCACUCAAAUCUAUUUUCACGGGCGACCGACCCACACUCUCCCAAUAGUCUAUUUUCACGGGCGACCUGCCCACACAUUGGGUUUACCUGAGAUCCCAUCUGGCGACCUCAUUCAACUGGAACGAAAAUAUGUGUAACUCGGUUAACCUGAAAUCCCAUCUGGCGAUUCCCUUUAACCAAAGUUACAUGAGAUCCCAUCUGGCGACCUCAUUCAACUGGAAUGAAAUAUGUGUAACUCGGUUAACCUGAAAUCCCAUCUGGCAAUUCCCUUUAACCAAAGCUACAUGAGAUCCCAUCUGGCGACCUCCUUCUGGAACGAAAUAUGUGUAACUCGGUUAACCUGAAAUCUCAUCUGGCAAUUCCCUUUAACCAAAGCUACAUGAGAUCCCAUCUGGCGACCUCCUUCUGGUCUCAUUGUACGGGUGACUAACCCUCGAAAAAUGCUGGUCUCAUUGUACGGGUGACGAACCCUAGUGCUGGUCUCAUUGUACGGGUGACGAACCCUAGUGCUGGUCUCAUUGUACGGGUGACGAACCCUAGUGCUGGUCUCAUUGUACGGGUGACGAACCCUAGUGCUGGUCUCAUUGUACGGGUGACGAACCCUAGAAAAAUGCUGGUCUCAUUGUACGGGUGACGAACCCUAGAAAAAUGCUGGUCUCAUUGUACGGGUGACGAACCCUAGAAAUAUGAUGGUCUCAUUAUAUGGGUGACGAACCCAGAAAAUGAUGGUCUCAUUGUAUGGGUGACGAACCCCGAAAAUGAUGGUCUCAUUGUAUGGGUGACCUACCUAGGAAAAAAUGUGAAGUGCGGUCUCAUUGUAAUGGGUGACCUACCCACGUGGAAAAAAUAUGAAGUGUGGUCUCAUUGUAAUGGGUGACCUACCCAGAUGAAAAAAAAUGAUGAAGUGCGGUCUCAUUGUCAUGGGUGACCUACCCGGAUGGAAAGAAUAUGAAAAAGUGGUCUCGUUGUGAUGGGCGACCUACCCAAAUAGAAAGAAUGUGAAAUGCGGUCUCAUUGUAAUGGGUGACCUACCCAGAUGGAAAAAAUGUGGAAAACUGCGGUCCCAUUGUCAUGGGUGACCUACCCGGAUGGAAAAAAUAUGAAGAACGGUCUCAUUAUGAUGGGCGACCUACCCAGAUGGAAAAAAUGUGAUAUGACAAGUGUGAAAAAUAGGACUUACCUGGCGAAGUCCUGAGGGGAUGACCGAAGAAGGGCUGGAAAACUUGGUGCUUCCUGAUAAUUCCCGAUCAUAGGGUUUGAAAACUCGGUGUUUCCUGACUGCAAGGGUUGAAAACUCGAGGCUUCCCGGUUGCAAUGUUGAUCUCUUCAUUUCUUUGGGAUUUUCUUGUGAUAAUUGGAAAAUAUGUGCAAAUGGUGUGUUUUUUUUUUUUUUUUUAGGUUAGAUGAUAUGCAUGCAUCCUUACCUGAUUUGAAAUAAUAGGUCCCCCCUCUUUGAUGCUCCAUCGUCAUAGGGUGCCCUUGUUUGUAUCCCAAAGCUUUCUUUGUUCUUCCGAUGUAUUGGCUCAUUCAUGUGUUAGCCAUCCACUCAGCUGUAAAUGCAGUGCCCAUCCCGGGCUGUCUUCGACAAUUACUGCUUGCAUCGUUCAUGAAGCUUGACCCUGCCCCAAGUGUAGUACUGCUUGAUUCAUCAUGAGAGAUUUUCUCUCCUGGCUUCUUCUGAGAAAUUAUCCUCUGAUUGAUUGUAUGCAUCAUGCCAACACCCAUCACGUUUGUUAAUCAGUCAUGAACUUGCCUUCGGUUGAAACACCAUUCAAGUAUGUAUGGUCACCAGCCUUCAUGGAACUGCCAAGUCAUCCAGACAUGUAUCUCAUGCUUUGCAGUAAACAGCUCAUCAUUGUAAGCGCGAUGUAUUUCUCUAUGGAUUCCUCUUAGCUUGUCAAAUCAGAUCGUGAAAAUACCUGCUUUGGCAUCAUCAAUGAUGUUCAUGUUAUCACCCAUAUUCAUGCGGUGAAGUGCGCAUUUGAGCUUCAGAAUAGAUGUCCCACAAUCAGUCUUCGAGGUGGGUGCCUUUCCGACAUUCAUUCAGUGCAGUUGUGUGAUAACAUCUGUCUAUAACCAUGUUUCAAAGAAUGACAAUAUGAGAUUGUCCUUUAAGUGCAGCAUUGUUCCACAGUCAGUCUUGGUGGUAUGCAUCUUUUCUCCAUUCAAUUACAUUCAUCUGUGUAUUCCUCAUCGAUCGCGAGCCAUGUUUCAAAAAAUGAUGAUAGGAAAGUGCCCUUCAGGUACGUUUUUGUUUCUCCAUUGCCGACAGGAUUCAACUAAAGCAUGGGCCAUUUUGGAAUGACAUUGCCCCCAGUAUGAUCCGAGUGUGCUCGUUCAUUGAUUAUCUGUCUUUGAACAUCAUUGUCUUCAGUUCACUGAUUCAUCAUUUAAACAUUGCCUCAUAGCUGAUCUGAGCACUGCUUGUUUUUCCUUUUCAAGGUCUACUGUAUUGCCCCCAGCUGCUCAACUUUUCAAGGAGUGUCGAGGACUUCAAUGUCAUUUCUAUCAACGAUUUUGCAUACUCAAUCAAUGUUCUUCUGUGUUUGAUAAUCUUCCUUGUUCUGGAAUCAACUCUCAUAUUUCAAAGAUCAUGUCUAUUCAAAGUCUAGUUUGUUGAAAUAAAAUCAGAGAUGUCUUUUUUUGAAAAUCUUUUGAAAAUCAAGCUUUUUGAUCAAAGGCCCAACACAUUUUAUUCGAAAUAUAUAGUCCUUUGAUUGUCAUGCAUUUUGAAAACAGAAAUUGACCCAAUGUAGGAUUAAAAAUGGCUUUUUCCAUGGUUCUUUGUAUCAAUUUGAAUCCUUGAUAUUGGGUAUAUCAUUUGAUAGUUUAUGGUGAGGUGACCUUCUGUGAAUUUCAAGGAAAACAACAGGCUCAAGUCAAAACUUGAGGAUUCAUGAAGGAAACAUGUUUUGUUUUUAGCAAUAAUUUUAUCAACAUGCAUAACGACCGGUAACUUAAUUCAUGAAGUCACGACUCUUAUGGAAAAACUCUUCAAGUUUUGAGAGCGCCAUUUAUCGGUUCAAGUUGCUUGCUUGAUUAAAAAGGGCUUUUAAAAAGCAUGUAAUGCAGGCUAUGGUUCAUGGCUAUGAAAGAAAGGAAUUUCACAGGCUCAAAAGGUGUUUGAGGGUUUCAAAGACCUAGGAUCAACAUCAACUAUUCAUCAACUUGUUUUCUAUUGUUGUCUUUAUAGAGGAAACGACAUAUAACCUUGUUAACCUCAAAGUUCCGACUUUUCUUAACAUAAGUCAUAAUGCAAAUCCAACUUUCUUUGAGGAAUAACCAACCUUAAUCAUCUGAUAACAUCAUAGGUUUUAUAACGGAUACCAAAAGUCAACGCUUAUAGCUUAGUCUUUUUUCUGGUAUUGACUUUUGUUGUGCCUUUCCUUGAUUGAAAUUUCUUUUGCUCUUCAUAGACUUGAUAGGCGUUCUCCUUCCUUUAUCUUUGACUUGUAUUUAAGUGAAGGCAAUUUCAACUUCCUUUUUUCAUUCUCUUUUUUUUCAUAGCCUUCCUCAAAAUUUUCUUAUAUGCCCCCAGUCUAUGUGUUUUCUUUUAGCUCUCUCUCAAUCAUUGGACCUUUGUUCUAAGCCUUCCCCUUUAUCCAUUAAUUAUAUCAAUGUCUCCAAAAUAUCUCUCAUUUGCCCCCAGUGUGGGGUGUGAUCCUAGUCAGGGUUUCUUUUUUUGAAAGAAAAUAUUUUACCAGGCUCAAAAUGGGACUGCAAGGGAUAUAAUCUUUAGAAAGUGAAGGGAUAUCAAAGAUGGCCUUUUCUCAUUUCAAGCAAGGUCGGUUAUAACCGAUAAAUUUUGACCUCAUCCAGUGUAAUGAUUGGGACUUGUAAGAAUCAUGAUUCACGAGUCCAUGACUACCGAAUCCACUACAUGUCAUUAUGCAUACUGUUAAAACUUAGCUAUAUGAUGUGUGGUUCAGUUUCAGGAGGUAUGAGUUCAAAAUUGUUUGGUCACCUCAUGUCAUUUUCAAGCAUAGAGUCAUUUCUGUAAUCAAAACACUUCUAAUCUUCCGGAUUGAUUAACCUUUAUCGCAUGUUGUAGUUUGAUCAAAAUAUUUUGUCAGAAUAAAAUGCUAAACAUCUGUUGAUUUCAAAACAACAAAGAGACAAAAGCAAGGCAUGUUUCGUUGAAGGAUGAGAUGUGAUCCCAAAACAAAAUGCAGAAUUCCAUAACAAUAUGAUUGACUGUUCAUCACCCUUCUCGAAUCAGCUUUUCUGGCAAUAUCUGUGUUUUGCCAAGCAUUUUCGAUCACAUGUCCUUCUGAAGAUGUUCGGGGAACAAUAUAGCCAGUGACACCCUUCUUCAACGACUCCACCUGUCUCUUGCUCACCAACUUCCAGACUCAAUUCUUGCUAUUCUUGAAACUGUUCACUUGAAAUGGUUGAGGACCCCACCAUGACAUCACAUCUCUUAUCUGGAUUAUACCACUAAGAAAUUGGUGGUUGCAUGGGAAUUUGUCGGAGUCAAGCAAAAUUCUGGAAUCUUGCGGAUGCUGGUCGACAACUUAAACGGCAGAGCAAUGUCCCAUCUUGGCAAAGAUAUUUUGAGCAAUUGAUGAUGCCGUGAGACCUGGCUAUACCACAUAAUUAAGGGUUCACACUGUCAAAGUCAUCUCCUGAUUCACCUCUCAUCAUUGUUCUAGAAUCCAUGGCAGAUCCUUCAAUCUUCCAAUGUUGCUAUGGUUGGUUGAGGAUUGUUAGAAAACUUUCUAACAGCUUGGUAAUCUUGGCAGCAUCCAGAAACUUGUAGUAUCGCCACUACCGACGUGUGGAAUCACACAUUGUCUUUAUUGGAAGAGCACCUGAUGAAUCUAAAACUCCUUCGUCCCCUCUUCAAUUUCUCACUGACAGUGCAGCAAACAAACACCUAUAGAGGAAGUCCUGCUCUGUUGAAGUUUCAGUAUUCUUCAUGUUUUUCAGUCUAGGCAUGUAUCUUCUCUCUACUUUUGCAUUUUAAUACUGACACUGUUGGAGAAAAAUCAUAAAUGAUCUGAAACUACUGUAUUCCUUCUUGGAUUUCACACUUGCGGAUCCACAAACAGAUUCCUGUCGGGAGAGCUCUGCUACGUUGAAGUUUGAUGUCUGCUCAUAUUUUUCAAGCCAAGUCUGGCUCUUCAACCUGCUAUAGUUUCUUCGUGCUGAAACUGAUGAGAGAAAUAUUUGUAGCAUAUGCAAUUAGUAAAUCCCCUCUUGCAUUCCCAAUUUGCAGAGCCAUAAAUGGAUUUUUGUAGAGGAGCUCUGCCACAUUGAAGUUUGACAACUACUAAUAUUAUCAGACCAGGUCUGACUCUUCUGCCUACUACAAUGUUUUGCUGGUGCCACUGGUGGGAAAUAGUUUCAAAGCAUAUGAAAUUAAUACAUUCCCUUUUGCAUUUGCCAUUGACAGAUCCACAAAUAAAUCUCUACAGAGAGAGCUCUACCGCGUUGAAAUUCAGUGUCAUGGUUUUUUUUUUUUUUAGACCAACAUCUUGUGCUGCUGAACUGGAAUUGAGCUCAUAAUUGGGGUAACUUCAAAGCAGACUAAUGCACCAUGCACAGGAGGUUAGUAGUCGUUUGGUUCCAUUAGAUGAUGUGGAGGCGAUGAAUACUUAACAGCGCAACUGGACAGGAAUCAGAGUUGUUAUUAGUUGAUGACUGAAGGCGUUGUUGCUGUUGUUCAUGACUGAAAAGGAAAGGUACAGUCUUCAAUUGGACGUGAACAAGCAGUGUUCCCACAGAAAACUAUGCAGACAUUCUCUUUUCAUUUGAUGCUCAACACUUAUUCGAGCAGAUCUGAGUCCUGCUACUUCACUCUUGAUGCUCUCAACCUUAAUCUGAUACUGAACCUAUAUCUGACUCCUUUGUUUACUUCCAUUAUUUUUCUUCAAUCUCGUGCAGCACAACUUGUACAGGGGACCUACGUUUCGACCCGGUUCAUGCAUGAUAAAUGUAUGAACAUGUAAUCUAUAUGAUGAACUCUCCCUUCGAGAGGUGACAAUAUGGUCGUAACUCUUGUAUGAUGGACAAGAAUCGUGAUUUUUGCCCAAACUCUACAAUGAAAAUUUUCGGAGCAACGGCCAAUGUGUCACCAACAAGUCUUGAGUUCAAGAUGCUUCAAGAAGGGUUUGCCCUUAUGCAAAAAACGAUAGCACAUACAACCUAAGGACAGGUUCUAUUCAUUAUGUGAACAUGGGUAAGUUUUCUAUCUGGUCUCAAAAGGGUCUCAUAUCUGCCUAGUGACGUUCUUCGUAAAGACAGUUUGGGGGCGUUGCAAGGAAUGGUUAAAGUACGUAUACCCACCAUUACCAAGCAGGCACUCAGAUAUGAGUUGGGUGUUUCACGCAUCUGAACCCUGACCAAUAGUCUUAGGGCAGAUCGCUAGUUCCCCACCUAACCUAGAAGCUUGUGUGUGCUUUCAAAAAUAAAUACAGGUGAUGCAUGAAACAAUUCUAUAAAAUGCAUGGAAAUAAAUAUUAAUAAAAAGAUAAAAAUGCAAAAACUUAAACACAUCAAAUACACAAAGCUUAGUCCAAUACUCGAAAAAAAAUACCUUCCCCAGUGGAGUCGCCAUUCUGUCGCACCCCAAAAAAAAUCCAUCAAUCAGCGUGCGGCAUCGGCUGGCGAUUUUUCAUCUCGUUGCGUAAUGUUUGAAUUUGGUUCGUUGGAGUCGCCACCUAGUAAUUUAUUGAAGGCUACUAGGAAACCGGAUGGACUGGUCUUGUCAGAGAUUCGCGGGUAAGGGACUGGUUGUGGUUAGGGAAGGUAUCAGCACCCCUAACACACCCUACCUGAGGUAAGCUGCUUCGCGAAUUUGAUGUGUUAAAGAAGUUUUAAUAAUUGUCUUUUCGUCGGAAAUUAGAAAUAUCACUUACGUAUAAGUUAAUAAUUCUUAACCGUGAUCCGAUCAAAAUAUUAAAUUCUUCUUUAAUAAAUUUGCAAUUUUAUCCUAAAAAAUAAUUAAAGAAAUAAAUAAAAUAACAAAUUCGUAAAACAAAUACAAACACACACAUACACUUUCACUAUUUUUAUUUCUUUUUUUUAUUUCUUUUCUUUUUCUUCUUUUCUUUUACAUCUACUAUACAAAUACAAAUACAAAUACAAACACAAAUACAAAUUCAAAUUAAAUAAAUAAAAAUUACAUUAAUUAAUUUAAAAAUUACAAAAUAGUCCCUAAAAACUCCAGAAAUUGCAGGGAAGGACUUCUGGGCUGCAUGAACAGUAGCGGCGCGUGGGCUCACGCGCCGCCCUGAAAAUCAGGCAGCGUGAGGGGGCUGUAAUGCUUCCUCCUCUCUUCGAUCUCUCCACCUGCAAAUCCAAAAAAAACACAGCAAAGGGCAGUCGAUUUUAAGUUUUUUUUUUAGUUUUUUCAAAUCUGUUUUUUGUUCUUUCUUUCUUCGCCGUCUUCGAUCUGCUCCUCUUUCUCUUCUUCUUCGUUGCAGAUCAGUCCGUGGGUUUCUUCUUCUUCUCCUCUGCUUCAGGUGGUGGGGCGGCGGCUGAUGGAGAAGCUGGGAGGCGUCGGUUUGCUUCUGUCGAGGCCGUCGAAGACGGCGCUGCUGCGCCUCUUGCUGGUUCUGUUCUUCCCUUCUGCAGGCG